rnacentral:sRNA from 1 species
GGCUGAGCAGGGGUCCUUCCCUCACCGCCCUGUGCAUCCCUCCCAAAUCUGAGCAGACAGUUGAAGAUGAUGUUUUCCCCAGACCAAGGACGGCCCAUCAGUGACGAGUUUAGAAGUGGCUGUCUAUGACUCCCAGCUAAAAUCUCCAACAAGCUCUCAAGAUCAGCUGGAAGGCCCCUUGCGGCAGUAAAGCAAAUUUGAUAUUGCUGUGAGGUAAACGCUGCCUAAAUAUAAAAGCAUCGAGAUAAGUUCCAAAUGGAUUUUCU